AAUCAACGCUGGCGGCGCGCCUAACACAUGCAAGUCGAGCGAGAAAGGGGCAACCUGAGUAAAGCGGCGUACGGGUGAGUAACACGUGGAUCAUCUACCCUUUUGUGGGGAAUAACUCUGGGAAACCGGAGCUAAUACCGCAUAAGUCCGAGAGGAGAAAGCAGCAAUGCGCAGAAGGAGGAGUCCGCGGCUGAUUAGCUAGUUGGUGGGGUAAUGGCUCACCAAGGCUUCGAUCGGUAGCCGGCCUGAGAGGGCACACGGCCACACUGGCACUGAGACACGGGCCAGACUCCUACGGGAGGCAGCAGUGGGGAAUCUUGCACAAUGGGGGAAACCCUGAUGCAGCGACGCCGCGUGAGCGAUGAAGCCCUUCGGGUGUAAAGCUCUUUCGACGGGAACGAUUAUGACGGUACCCGGAGAAGAAGCUGCGGCUAACUACGUGCCAGCAGCCGCG
rnacentral:rRNA from 1 species